rnacentral:rRNA from 1 species
CACGUAGGGACCAAGCGUUGUCCGGAUUUAUUGGGCGUAAAGCGCUCGUAGGCGGUUUGGUAAGUCGGGUGUGAAACCUCCAGGCUCAACCUGGUGGCGCCACCCGAUACUGCCAUGACUUGAGUUCGGUAGGGGAGCGGGGAAUUCCUGGUGUAGCGGUGAAAUGCGCAGAUAUCAGGAGGAACACCGGUGGCGAAGGCGGCUUCCUGGGACGGUACUGACGCUGAGACGCGAAAGCGUGGGGAGCGAACAGG